UACCUGCAGCUCAAGUGGUGGCCGUUAUUAUUGGGCCUAAAACGUCCGUAGCCGGUUUAUUAAAUGCCUGGGUAAAUCGGGCCGCUUAACGGUUCGAAUUCCGGGUAGACUGAUAGACUUGGGACCGGGAGAGGCUAGAGGUACUCCUGGGGUAGAGGUGAAAUUCUGUAAUCCUAGGGGGACCACCAGUGGCGAAGGCGUCUAGCUAGAACGGGUCUGACGGUGAGGGACGAAGCCCUGGGGCGCAAACCGGAUUAGAUACCCGGGUAGUCCAGGGUGUAAACGCUGCUUGCUUGAUGUUAGUCGGGCUCCGAGCCCGAUUAGUGUCGGAGAGAAGUUGUUAAGCAAGCUGCCUGGGAAGUACGGCCGCAAGACUGAAACUUAAAGGAAUUGGCGGGGGAGCACAGCAACGGGUGGAGCGUGCGGUUUAAUUGGAUUCAACGCCGGAAAGCUCACCGGAGGCGACGGUUAUAUGAAGGCCAAGCUGAUGACUUUGCCUGAUUUUCCGAGAGGUGGUGCAUGGCCGCCGUCAGUUCGUACCGUAAGGCGUUCUGUUAAGUCAGACAACGAACGAGACCCUCAUCUUUAAUUGCUACUGGUAAGUCCGCUUAUCAGGCACAUUAAAGAAACCGCUGGCGAUAAGUCAGAGGAAGGCGAGGGCAACGGUAGGUCAGUAUGCCCUGAAUCCUCCGGGCUACACGCGCGCUACAAAGGCUAGGACAAUGGGCUUCGACACCGAAAGGUGAAGGUAACCUCGAAACCUAGUCAUAGUUCGGAUCGAGGGUUGUAACUCACCCUCGUGAAGCUGGAAUCCGUAGUAAUCGCGGAUCAACAUCCCGCGGUGAAUAUGCCCCUGCUCCU
rnacentral:rRNA from 1 species